CCUACGGGAGGCAGCAGUGAGGAAUAUUGGUCAAUGGCCGGAAGGCUGAACCAGCCAAGUCGCAUGCAGGAUGACGGCCCUACGGGUUGUAAACUUCUUUUGUCAGGGAGCAAUUGAGUCCACGUGUGGUCUUAGCGAGAGUACCUGAAGAAAAAGCAUCGGCUAACUCCGUGCCAGCAGCCGCGGUAAUACGGAGGAUCCGAGCGUUAUCCGGAUUUAUUGGGUUUAAAGGGUGCGUAGGCGGCCUUUUAAGUCAGCGGUGAAAGUCUGUGGCUCAACCAUAGAAUUGCCGUUGAAACUGGGAGGCUUGAGUAUGUUUGAGGCAGGCGGAAUGCGUGGUGUAGCGGUGAAAUGCUUAGAUAUCACGCAGAACCCCGAUCGCGAAGGCAGCCUGCCAAGCCAUGACUGACGCUGAUGCACGAAAGCGUGGGGAUCAAACAGGAUUAGAUACCCCUGUAGUC
rnacentral:rRNA from 1 species